UACGUAGGGCGCAAGCGUUGUCCGGAAUUAUUGGGCGUAAAGAGCUCGUAGGCGGUUUGUCGCGUCUGCUGUGAAAACCUCGGGGGCUUAACCCCGAGCCUGCUUCCGAUACGGGCAGACUAGAGGUAGGCAGGGGGAGAGCGGAACUCCUGGUGUAGCGGUGGAAUGCGCAGAUAUCAGGAGGAACACCGAUGGCGAAGGCAGGUCUCUGGGCAUUAACUGACGCUGAGGAGCGAAAGCAUGGGGGAGCGAACAGG
rnacentral:rRNA from 1 species